rnacentral:rRNA from 1 species
UCCAGACUCCUACGGGAGGCAGCAGUGGGGGAUAUUGCACAAUGGGGGAAACCCUGAUGCAGCGACGCCGCGUGAGUGGAGAAGUAAUUCGUUACGUAAAGCUCUAUCAGCAGGGAAGAAAAUGACGGUACCUGACUAAGAAGCCCCGGCUAACUACGUGCCAGCAGCCGCGGUAAUACGUAGGGGGCAAGCGUUAUCCGGAUUUACUGGGUGUAAAGGGAGCGUAGACGGCAAUACAAGUCGGAAGUGAAAUACCCGGGCUCAACCUGGGAACUGCUUUGGAAACUGUAUGGCUGGAGUGCUGGAGAGGUAAGCGGAAUUCCUAGUGUAGCGGUGAAAUGCGUAGAUAUUAGGAGGAACACCAGUGGCGAAGGCGGCUUACUGGACAGUAACUGACGUUGAGGCUCGAAAGCGUGGGGAGCAAACAGGAUUAGAUACCCCAGUA